GAGGCCAAGAGCAUGCUCUGUGAAUUUCUGCUCCUGGAAUCAUCAGCUUUUCCAAGUGCAGUGAGCCCGGGAGGACCGAGAGUCACUGAAGUUACAGAGAACGUGUCCUCUCAUGCCUGGAUGAAGGAUAAAGGAUCUGAAUAAUGAUACCAGUGCCACCUAAUUGCUCUUUGGAAUUUUGAAGGACCUACUUGUUUUCUGUAAGAAUGGUGAACGUAGCUCUGGAACAGAAGCAGUGGGGCCUGGCAUCCUUCUCGUGAUACCUGGAGAUACAAGAACACGUGUGAUAUAAGUAAGGACACCAACCACUAUCAGUAACUGUCCCUCUAUCCUUCUCUCACUUACCCCUUAAGGACGUUGUGCGGGACG
rnacentral:lncRNA from 1 species